rnacentral:rRNA from 1 species
UAGGGAAUCUUCCACAAUGGACGAAAGUCUGAUGGAGCAACGCCGCGUGAGUGAAGAAGGGUUUCGGCUCGUAAAACUCUGUUGUUAAAGAAGAACAUAUCUGAGAGUAACUGUUCAGGUAUUGACGGUAUUUAACCAGAAAGCCACGGCUAACUACGUACNCG